rnacentral:lncRNA from 1 species
GUCCUACACACCUCACAGGGCCACUGGGAGGGACAAAUGACACAUUCUGUGUGAAAGCGCCUCACAAAGGGAAAGCAUGUUCUCAUCACCCCUUUAUUCAAAUCCGCAUGGCGGGCCUCCCUGGGCCGGCCUCCGCUCCCUGCUAUGGAAUCACAGUAGUGAGCAGACGGACAAAGGCGGUGACCUCUGGGCAUGUGGCUAGCAGGAGACACAGACAACACAGAGAGAGAAAAAAAUACGUUCGGCGGUGCCAAGAGGUAUGAGGAGAAGCAGACCAGGGUAAGGCAAGGGAUGGCUAGCUGGUGAGAUACAAUCUCACGCAGAAUCGAUGGGGAAGACCUCUCUUGGGAGAGAACAUUCGAAAGGACCCCUAAAUGAAGAGAGAGGCCAACCAGGGGGCUUUCUGGGCGCGGGGAACCGUACUGCAAACGGCUGAGGCAGAUAAACAGGCAGGGAAGAGCAGGCAGGCUGAAGGUGAAGGAGUAAGGAGAAAUGGAAUGAGGUCAGGAAGCCACGAGGGACAAGACCCCCGACCAGGGAAAACCUUGGGACUGUCCUCCUGCUAGACAGGAAGUAGCGGGGGAACAGAUGGGCGGAGUGACACGGCAAAGGAAGAGCUCGGGCUGAUGGCGAGAGCAGCAUCACUGCUCCAUCGCUCCGGGCAGCUCCCGGCAUCCGUGAGUCCAGCACAAACAGUUCACACCGACCGCACCACGGCCCUCCUCAGGCCUUCGACUUCUCUGUUUAUUCGCUUUUCAUCUGCAGAGUAACUGCUGAGCACAGAGGCCAGGGAACAGGGAAGUUUGUUGACGUGCCACCACCUCGCACCAGGUUAUUCCCCCUGCCCUGCUGAUUUGCAUGAGAUAACAGCAGGAAGUAAUUCCACGCAACAGAACAGCAGAAACCAAGAGAUGUCAGAGCCAGGGCAUCCCAAAGCAGGAAGUGACAAGGGUUAGAGGUAAGAUAGUAAAGCAAAAAGAGAGCCGGGAUUAAUCAGGGCACAGGCGUGACUUAACCAAAUGUGGUCCUCCACGUUCCUGCCGAGGAACACUCAAUGCAAAACUAUUUGCAUGCUGCCGCUGCAUCUGGUCUCUGCGAACACUGCAAGGGGGCUCGUCAUCCAAAGGCAAAAAGUAUGUGCUGGAUCAGCUUCUUGCCGCAAGCACGAGCUCCCUGGUGUGAGGUCCGAGGGUGGCAGUAAAUGGGCCGGCACAGUGCCGGCUGCUCGGCUCGAGGUUACUCGCCUGGGAGGGCUCUCACCUUCCAGGAGAGGAGUAGGCACUGUUGCUUCACUCGGGCCGUGUGCUUGGCCGUGGAGGGGCCAGAUUCUAGGCUAUGAAGUGCUCUCCUCACCACUGGACCUUCAGAGUGUGUCCCAGAAAGGUUGGCAGAGGAAUCGACUUGGCUAAGAAGGAUAGUGAUGUCUGACAGCCGGUUCCCAUUCACCCUCAGAAGGAACCAACCCUGCUGACACCUUGAUUUCCCAUUUCCAGCCUGCAGAGCUGUGAGACGGUAAAUUUCUGUUCUUUAAGCCACCCAGGGUGUGGUUGGUUACGGCAGCCCCGGGAAAUGAACACGAUCACCAAUAACAGGGUGCGCUCCACGCCGGGUCUUCGCCAAUGGUUGAGCUUCCCCGGGCGCUCCUGAUGCCCUGUGGAGGAUGCUCAUGGAAGUGGAGGUGUGAACAACUGCCACGUGGCUUUGAAAGGCGCUGGGCUCUCUCAGCUCACGGCUCUGCCUUGAGGGCUGUGAACACGCCCUCCGCUGGGAUUCUCACUGCUCACCCAAAGACUUCACAUGAAUUAUCUCAUUUCAUCCUCGUGAAAAUAAUGGGUGCUGUGGUUUCCUGCAUUUUAUAGGAAAGUUGCGAAGUUGGUACAGCAAGUUCCCACAUACUGCACGCCCCAUUAGGGAGAUAAAAGUCACAUGGCCCAAGAAGAAUGGGUCCAAGAUUCUUCCAACCACCAGAAGGCUUGGCGAUGGCCGGGGACUGGAGCCGGGGAGGUGAUCCUCAGAGUCUUUGCCCUACCAAAGAAACCCACAGCCUGAAAGGCUUAAAGAAGCAGUGCAUUCAGUGGGCAAUAAUGGUUGCAGAUGGAAGGUAUGGGAGCCGCAGGCCGGUUGCUGGGACCCAACCGCAGAGGAAGAGAGCUGGAGUCAAAGAACCCAGGAGAGCUGGCCAUGCCCCCCUCUCAGGCCACCAGCUUCUACUCCAUUAACAGGUCUGUCCAGGUCUCUUUCUAUUGGAGACCUAUUAAUUUUAGUUAGCACCAGUGAAGAGGACUCCUUCCCUGCAGCCCAGAUCUUAAACCUUUUCCUCUGAUUCACUGGUUUGACUGCUUUGAAAAUAGUAGCAGACUGAAACAGGC